CGAAUUGGCAUCAACGACACCAUUGAAGACUCCAUUCAUCGCAAGCCGCUGAUGGAGAUGAACGGCAUUAGGGAUGAUACUCGUCUGGAGUCAACAUUCCUCAAUACCAACUUGCACGACGCCAUCACUGCCUCGCCCAGGUGUGCCGCCACAACGAAGACUACCGCAGCGACAUUGAGAGCUUGCACCAGCAGCUCACCAAUCUGAUCAACAACAAGCCGCGCAUACUGCAAGGCAAUCUCGAGGAUGAGAAUACCGAUCCUGCAGCACAGCCGCUCUUCUGGAUAUCCAAAUGGGUCGACUACAGUGAAAAAAUACGGCUUCGGUUAUCAGCUCUGUGAUGAGGGCAUUGGCGUUAUGUUCAACGACACAACCAAAUUGAUUCUGCUUCCGAACCAGAUCAACGUCCACUUCAUA